UAGAGCCUCCUAGAUUCAUUUUUGGCGGGAAAAUGAGCUGGGUUAAUUUUUGUUCGCGGAUCCCGGUUUUGAUGUGAUCCAACCCGUUUUAUGACCCGGGUAUAUAAAUCACCUAAAAACCUAAAUUCAUGUGGCCUCAUUAUUUUCCUUCACUGGUUCACACCGAAACCCUAGCCUCCGUCUUCUUCUGCCAUCUGAGAGGUUCUAACAUCUUUUCUUUGCUAAAACCCUAGAUAUCUCUACUACUGCGCUUCCUCAGAUCAUAUUGGAUCUUCAACAAUUUCUCUUCAUCUCAAUCACCAUCGAUUAUGUGGAUUUGAGGUCAUAAUUUCAUCGAAAAACUAAUGUUUUGUUGUAAUUCUUCUCUACUUGCAGACAUCCAACACGGAUUUUACAUGAAGAUCUGAAAACUAGGACAAAAUGCCCUAGCCGCCCCUUCAGCUUAUACGGCUAGGGUUCCGGUCAUUAGUCAUCCGUUUUUCGCUUCAGAAUCCAUGGUGUUUAGGUAUCCCCAAAUUAUUGUUUGUUAUAUUGAUUUUUUAUUGUUUGCAAAUAGUGUGUUUGUUGGUUUGUGAUCUUAUAACCAGUACCCAAAGGAUAAAGAUUGAAAAUUUAUGUGUAUUGUUUGAUAAUUGAGGGUUUUUCAAAACUUGGAUAUGAUCAUUCUUUUCCGUAGAUGUUCCAAUACUGUUUCCAAGAUACGGUAUUAAUGGCCAAAACUGAAUAUGAGUAUCACAUAAUUUUGAUUUUUUUUGGGUACGGGAAUCUACUGGGGUUUGUAUGCAAGUUCAGGGACACAAUGAUGCAUUUGCCUUAGAAUUGUUGGUAUCGUGAAAGCAACAGCUUAUGGUCAGCCUUUGGUUCAUCCUCAGUUUCUUGAGCAAGCAAGGAUGCCUUUGCCACUUGAAAUGGCGCAAGAGCCUGUUUACGUGAAUGCCAAAAAAUACCAUGCGAUAUUAAGGCGAAGGCAAUCCUGUGCAAAAGUAGAGCUUGAGAAGAAACUUAUAAAAGACAGAAAGCCUUAUCUUCAUGAAUCACGGCAUCAGCAUGCUAUGACAAGGGUAAGGGGCUCCGGUGGUUGUUUUGCAAAGGAAACUGACGUUAAUAAGAACACAACAGGUUCGGGUUCAAGUUCUGCCAUGUCAUCAUCCCAGUCGGUGAAUUCAAACCGGGUGCACUUGAGCAAUGGAAAAGUAAAGCGGUUACUCAAGAUAUGUUAAUUUAUGCUAAAAUUAUGGUCAUGCAUUAAUGAUUAAUGGUACCGUUUCUUUUAACUUUAGUAAUUCCUUUAUCUCAUAUUUACACCCGGUGAGAUAAAACGAAAGAGUGAAAAGUUUAACCACUGUCGGAUGUUAAAACCACAUUAUACUUAUUGUGCUUUUAAUGCGGCGAAUGCACUCUUAAUCGACCUGAUUAUUUAUUGUUUCUUUCUACAUGAUCAAGUUUACUAAACGGAACGGUUUCUUCUUCUAAAAGCAAGUUUGAUGAUAAAAUAGAAGCAUCUUAUGCUAAAACGUAUUUCCAUUACUGCGGGCAACUGCUUCAUCAGCAAAAUAUGAUGCAGGAUUAUGUGAGAACAGGUUCCUACUAUGCUGCGGUUAUUGAGAAUAAAGCCGAUAGCUGGUGAUAUUUUCAAGUUGUUUUAGUAUUUGUGUAGUCUCGCAACUUGGAGAUUAUUCACUUAAUCAGUUAACCAAGUUAAUUCACUGUUCGUGAGUAUUUUAUUCAUACAACUUCAAGCCUUUUACGACGUUCACCUGUCAAUCACGGUAAAGACAGGUCGCUUGGGUUGAUCAAAAGUCCUUUUGUCUAAAACGGGUAUACAAGGAAGAGGCUAUUAAAGGCAAGGAGAUAUACAAUAGCGAAAUGACGCAUUACAAACUGAGUACUCUACCUUCUCUGGAAUCAAGAAAGGAGCAGUUCUUCAGGAAGCUAGGGUCGUUAAUGAUCCUCAGUUGGAUUCAAGGAGGUGUUCUCAGAUUUAUGUUGCCAGGUUAUCACAAACCUGCUUAAUCUCUUGAAUAAAGGUGAUACCUUCACAAAUGUGUACAGUGUGACGGCUUCUCAUCACAAGGUCCGCAACCAUCACAUCCGGGUAAUCAUAAGUACUACCAUUCCUGCUAAGCUUUGUCAAGAGGGAGUUCACUAUAGAUUUGUGGAUUUUAUUGUUUUUUAUUUGUAAAUUUUGUUUGUAAUUCAAUUUUUGUUAUUUAAUUCAAUAUGCAACUUUGUUUAUAAGAAAUUUAUUAACACAAUAAUGAAUUAUAUAUAUUAUGUUCAACC